GAGUUACACGUGGGUAAUCUGCCCUGAAGUGGGGAAUAACACCGGGAAACCGGUGCUAAUACCGCAUACGAUCACGGAGUCUGCGGAUUUUGUGAUGAAAGGAGCAAUUCGCUUUAGGAGGAGCCCGCGGCUGAUUAGCUAGUUGGUGAGGUAAUGGCUCACCAAGGCUACGAUCAGUAUCCGGUCUGAGAGGACGGUCGGACACACUGGAACUGAGACACGGUCCAGACUCCUACGGGAGGCAGCAGUGGGGAAUUUUUCGCAAUGGGGGCAACCCUGACGAAGCAACGCCGCGUGGGUGAUGAAGUCUCUUGGGACGUAAAACCCUUUCGACGGGGAAGAAACCGCAAGGUUGACGGUACCCGUAGAAGAAGCCCCGGCUAACUCCGUGCCAGCAGCCGCGGUAAUACGGGGGGGGCAAGCGUUGUUCGGAAUUACUGGGCGUAAAGGGUGCGUAGGCGGUUCGUUAAGUUAGAUGUGAAAACUCUGGGCUCAACCCAGAGCCUGCAUCUGAAACUGGCGGGCUAGAGUUCUGGAGGGGGUAGCGGAAUUCCUGGUGUAGCGGUGAAAUGC
rnacentral:rRNA from 1 species